UUCUCCCUGUCACUUUCAGGGCUCUGACCUAAACACACAAGAAUGAUUAUUCUUCUAAAACAGCAUUCCAAGAUGCUGGCCAGUGCCAAGACCUAACCAUGCUUCUCGCUCUGAACCAAGAAUACACCACAGCAAUAUCCCUUCAGAAGCCAUAUUAAGACAUUCCAUUUCACCCGGGUCUAGUGGAAGUACAGGACAAGCAAUGCAGUGCCGGGGGAAGUCACCACAUAAAUGUGAAUGAACUAUCAGGAGCUGUCAACCUAUGAACUGAGCAAUAGAAUCAUGGAAUAUUCCGAGAGCACCGUAUGAAUUUAAAAAGUCAUAUUUGUAUCGGUCUGAGCUAGGGAGUAGUUACUGGACUUUCCUGCAGGAAUUAAAGUCACUAAGAGAUAAUUAAUACAAAUGACCAAGCCGAUAAGCCUCACCCCUCUUGGGGGAAACUGCUUAGUUCUAUGGUAUGAACUGGUUGAAGAAGCCUGGCAAACAAGGAAUCAAAAAUCUGUACAAAGCAACCACUCUGAUUUAGGAAGAGUGGGUCACUCCGAUUUACCCAUGAACUCACAUGGCAACCACAAGAGGGAUAGACCCUAUGGAAAGGAUCUGAAGUACUUUGUUCUGAUCCAUGUGGAAGAUGGAUGGCUGCCUGAUAAGCCAAGCCUGACGUGUAAACUGUUCACUGUUUAAGAAGUCUUCUCUGUAAUGCUUUUAUUCUGAACAAAUACCUUGCUUUGUGAAGGCUGAAUGCUCACUGGUUAACCCUGUCAUGGCCCAUGAGAGAACAAUGCUGCAGGUAUUGAAGUGAAGUGAGGCUUGCUAUUCCCAUGAGUUCAAUUUCUUUAAACUGUAUUUCAGUUGGACAUAAAACCAAACCAAAGGGCAGGAAGAAUUGCAGCUUAAAUCCCCAGUCUAGACAGAAAGUGUCAUGGGACUCCUCCUCAAGAAAGACAAUGGCUGGAGGUCUGAAACCUAUAGAGGAUGCCUUCAAGGCGAUCAUGAAGGGAUCAGAGGUGCAAUUACCUCAGGAACCGUGACAGUUGGUACAUGGUGUUUUUGAAAAUUAAGAUGUAAUUAAAAUCACUAUAUAUAAAAAAA